rnacentral:rRNA from 1 species
AUUGAACGCUGGCGGAAUGCUUUACACAUGCAAGUCGAGCGGCAGCGCGGGGCAACCUGGCGGCGAGCGGCGAACGGGUGAGUAAUGUAUCGGAACGUGUCCUGUCGUGGGGGAUAGCCCGGUGAAAACCGGAUUAAUACCGCAUACGAUCGAGAGAUGAAAGUGGGGGACCGCAAGGCCUCACGCGAUAGGAGCGGCCGAUAUCUGAUUAGCGAGUUGGUGGGGUAAAGGCCAACCAAGGCUUCGAUCAGUAGCUGGUCUGAGAGGAUGAUCAGCCACACUGGGACUGAGACAAGGCCCAGACUCCUACGGGAGGCAGCAGUGGGGAAUUUUGGACAAUGGGGGCAACCCUGAUCCAGACAUUCCGCGUGAGUGAAGAAGGCCGUCGGGUUGUAAAGCUCUUUUGUCCGGGAAGAAACGGUUUCACCUAAUACGUGAGACUACUGACGGUACCGGAAGAAUAAGGACCGGCUAACUACGUGCCAGCCGCCGCGGUAACAC